AAAAGUUCAGUGAGAUAAUGUUUGGUAUAAAUUUAAAGGAAACGAUUUUUGCGAAUAAUAAUUAAAUGUAAAAGUUAGAACGAUGUCUUAUUCAUUUGUACUCUUGUUUUGCCUCUUUUGUACCUUUUACACAAGUUACAGCGCUGACGAAAAGUUGUAUAUAAUAAGACAUCAGACAUCACGAUUAGUUUUGGGACUAGGCGAAAACGGUCUAGUACAACUCCAACUUUUUAAUGAUGACACAACACAGUUCUGGACAUUGGAAUGUGCCACACCACCAACAGUUACUAUUACUAAUAAGGACAAUGGCAAAGUACUAGAUAUAAAAUAUGGUGCUUCUGCCGGAAACGACAUCACUACGUUUAGAAAACAUGGAGGUAUAAAUCAAAGAUGGUACGUUAAUUUUGACGAUACCAUAGUCAGUGCACAGAAAGAUUUGGUUCUCGGCAGCGUGGACGGUACAUAUGAAGCAGGAAAAACUAUAAUUGCAUGGAAAAACAAUGGAACAGCCCAUCAUCAGUUUGCGCUGGAGACGUAUGGCCCUGGUAUAUCUAAUAAAAUACAAAAUAAAAUUUAAUAAUAUGUCUGUCUUUUUAAGUACUGUACAAAUGUAAAUGAAUAAAGAACAACACACCAUUUAAAAGUUAGUUAUUGUCCAGAGAUAUUAUUACUCUCUAAAAGAAAUCAAACUACCAUGACGACUUCUGCGAUAGUACUUAUCUUAUCUUCGCCAUAAAAGCUCUUCUCUUGCUCUUCACACCUUGAUUAUUCGGUACUACCUGACGCCAUCAUGAGCCACUGCCACCACGAUCACGAUCACGACAAAUACGCCGUUAUUAGAAACCAAAAAAGUGGCAUGGUUUUAGAUGCAAGCGAACAUGUGUUAAAAAUCCAGCACUUCACCGGAUUUCCGGCACAACUGUGGAAACUGGAAAAUGCAGCGCCCGGAACAUUCUAUAUUGUGAAUAAGGGCAAUGGAAAUGUACUAGACAUAGAAGGGGGAGUCAAGAGCGGUCACAACGUGAUCACGUUUUGCAAACAUGGUGGAGUAAAUCAGCAAUGGUUCGUGAAUUCAGACGGCACUAUUGUCAGUGCUGAGGGAAAUUUGGCGAUUGACAUCUGUGGUGAACAUUACUGCGCGGGAAAUAACUUAAUCGCAUAUAAAAGACAUGGGAAAGAUAACCAGAAGUUCCAUCUUCAAUAUCAAUAGAUUUUCAAAGUGUAGAUGACUUAAGUAAAGUUUUUUCAAAUAAUCAGUACAUCUUAACACGAAAAUAAAAUUAAUUUACUGAAA